rnacentral:rRNA from 1 species
GACGAACGCUGGCGGCGUGCCUAAUACAUGCAAGUUGAGCGAUGAAGAUUGGUGCUUGCACCAAUUUGAAGAGCAGCGAACGGGUGAGUAACGCGUGGGGAAUCUGCCUUUGAGCGGGGGACAACAUUUGGAAACGAAUGCUAAUACCGCAUAACAACUUUAACAUAAGUUUUAAGUUUGAAAGAUGCAAUUGCAUCACUCAAAGAUGAUCCCGCGUUGUAUUAGCUAGUUGGUGAGGUAAAGGCUCACCAAGGCGAUGAUACAUAGCCGACCUGAGAGGGUGAUCGGCCACAUUGGGACUGAGACACGGCCCAAACUCCUACGGGAGGCAGCAGUAGGGAAUCUUCGGCAAUGGACGAAAGUCUGACCGAGCAACGCCGCGUGAGUGAAGAAGGUUUUCGGAUCGUAAAACUCUGUUGGUAGAGAAGAACGUUGGUGAGAGUGGAAAGCUCAUCAAGUGACGGUAACUACCCAGAAAGGGACGGCUAACUACGUG